rnacentral:rRNA from 1 species
CCUACGGGAGGCAGCAGUGAGGAAUAUUGGUCCAUGGGCGCGAGCCUGAACCAGCCAAGUAGCGUGAAGGAUGACUGCCCUACGGGUUGUAAACUUCUUUUAUAAAGGAAUAAAGUGAGGCACGUGUGCCUUUUUGUAUGUACUUUAUGAAUAAGGAUCGGCUAACUCCGUGCCAGCAGCCGCGGUAAUACGGAGGAUCCGAGCGUUAUCCGGAUUUAUUGGGUUUAAAGGGUGCGUAGAGGGGUUGUUACGUCAGUUGUGAAAGGUUGCGGCUCAAACGGAACAGAGCAAUUGAUACUGGCAGUCUUGAGAACAGUUGAGGUAUGCGGAAUGCGCGGUGUAGCGGUGAAAUGCUUAGAUAUCACGCAGAACCCCGAUUGCGAAGGCAACAUGCCGGCUUCCGACUGACGCUGAAGCACGAAAGCGUGGGGAUCGAACAGGAUUAGAUACCCGGGUAGUC